GCCAGAAUGGCGGAGUGGUUUGAGUGUUAAACUAUGAAUCUGGAGACCAGGAUUCGAUUCACAGUUCAGCCA